UGUUGCUCUAACUCGCACCACUCCAGGGACAUCUACAGGGCCGGCGACGGCAGCUCCAGCCUCUGAGCUAGGGGCGGCCAGGUGUGCCUUGCCCGCACUGACAAGACGACGACGCACAGGUGAUGGGCCAUGGGAGGACGAUUUGAUGUCCAUCCACGACAGCAGAUGCCGAUUCGAUAAUUUCCAGUUUGUGGAUUUUACCAAGAUAAAGUCGACAGAAAUGUGCCAAGCCGAGAAGGAGCGAUUCAUGCUCGAAGCAGUGAUAAUCAACCAGCGGAACAGAUACUAGCUAGCAAUAUUGAGAGAUAUACUGAAGUCCUGACAUUGUUGGUUCCGAUAAUCUAAGCUGCAAUGGGAAUAGUUGAAGACUUAUUGUGGGCAGGUGAUAAUCGCUGACGGGCAGGAUGGAGCGGAAUUGGAGGUGGCCAGGAGGUAGCAGCAACCUUCGUGUAUGUCUCGGGUGCACUUUGUCCUGGUGCAAGGCAGCAGCAGGGCGACGCUGUUUGCUGACUGGAUAUGCGGCAUCGCGGCUGCCCUCUGGUUUGCUGAUUC